UUUCAGGCCACUGCCGCAAGAAUUGCAUCCCUUGCCCCCAGACAGGCACACAUCACUCCAUUACUCAAAUCUCUUCAUUGGCUUCCUGUUCACUUCCGUAUCAAGUUCAAGCUUCUGUCCCUGACCUACCAAUGUAUCUCUGGAUCAGCUCCAGUCUAUCUCUGCAACCUUCUUCAGACAUACCAGUCUGCUCGAACUCUCAGAUCCCAGACCAAGUCUCUCCUUGGUGUCCCAAAUACAAACACUGUCUGCUACGGUCACAGAUCAUUUGCAUAUGCCGCAGCAACUGAGUGGAAUAAUCUGCCCCAAGAACUCAAAGACUCCCAAACGUUGUCAUCCUUUAAA